rnacentral:lncRNA from 1 species
AGAAAUAUCUGAAAACAAAAUUUCAAAUUAGCAAUGGUGCUGAGGAGCUGUAUAGAGAGUAUUAAAUGAACUGUAGUAUACAUCCAAGUAAAAAACAGAAUAUAUUAGGAGUAAUUAAAGUACCAUCAGCGGCGCACCAGAAUUAUUUCAUAACUUAGUAUCGUAUAUGGAUUUAGCUGAUAUACACUGACAAUAUAAAGAAUUUUUACACUAUCAGCGUACUUUAACCCAGACGUUAUGUAUGUAUAACUGCAUAAGAGGGACAACUCUCUUAUCAAUUCUGUAGGGGGCGCUUUGUUCUGCAUUCUGGUAGUCCAAUAAAUAAUUCAGUCUCAACAUCCGAUUUUUCACUACCUUCUACUGAAAAUAAAAGGUCUUCUCCACUUGAUGAUUUUGGCUGUUCAAGAUCACCACACUAAAACAAAAGGGCAACGCAAUUAUAUAGUUUCCUUUUCUCAAUUAAACUGGAAAGAGUGAAAGGUCUUCUCCACUUGAUGCUUUUGGCUGUUCAAGAUCACCACACUAAAGCAAAAGGGCAAGGCAAUUAUAUAGUUUCCUUUUCUUAAUUAAUUAAACUGUGAAACAAUCUUGAAGCUGUCUGAGGAAUAGUAAAAAUGGACACUUGAGUAUUUUCAAUGUAAUAUAACCAGGGGUGGAUAUAUAGAGUAAUAUAUGGAGUCAGAUAAACUCAGUAGCUUCUGCUUAGACUUCGUAUGUGUUAUAAAUCCACUAAAUAAGUUGUGAUAGAAUCCCGAACUCUAACACAUAAAGUUCACAUCGUGAAUUCGUCUAUGGCUUUGAGAUUACCAUUAGAAAACCAUAUGAAUUACAGAACUUAAUGGGAAUUAAGGUCCUUUGAAGAUCUUUUGGCAGAGAGAGUUGGUCAUGUUUGACUAAAGAAAAGCUACUAUAUUUUAAUCAAUCUUAAUAAAAUAAUUAUCGAGAAAUAUUUUUCAUGCGAGAAAUUUACCUACCAUGUUCAGGACAUUCUCUUAUAUAUAUGACCCAAAUAUAUUACACUAAAGUAAGGAAUCAUACUAAUAAUUAAACUUUGUUGUAUAGAAUUGAAAGGACUCCUACAUAAGGCGUUUUGAUCCAUACAACAGCAGUUCUCUUGAUAUCCUUCUUACUUUUAAAAGGUUCCCAUCUUUAAGUAUUCUAAACAUUUAGGCUGAGGGAAAGAAAAAGUACCUUC